GACGAACGCUGGCGGCGUGCCUAAUACAUGCAAGUCGAACGCACAGCCUCCAGGACCUGGCAGGCGGACGGGUGAGGAGCAGAACGGUAGCUUCCUGGCAGGGGAACCUAACGGACCGAAAGGUCCACUAAGCCCGCAUGCCUUCCCUCUUUGGAUAGGAGAUAGGAGCAAUUCGCUGACAGAGGAGCCUGAGGCCCAUCUAAUGGUUGGCGGGGUAAUCGCCCACCAAGUGGUUGACGGGUACAUGGGGUGAGAGGACGAGCAGGCAGCCUGGCAGUGAGACACGGCCGAGAAUCCUACGGGAGGGAGGAGAGAGGAAUUGUGGACAAUGGGGGCAAGCCUGAAGGAGCUACGUCGGGUGAAGGAUGAUGGUUGUAGGGUUGUAAACUUCUUGUGGCGGGGAUGAUUGUGACGGUACCGAACGAAUAAGCCCCGGCUAACUACGUG
rnacentral:rRNA from 1 species